rnacentral:lncRNA from 1 species
UUGGGAUUCAAAAGUUCACAAAGAAAACCGAUAUAAUAUCUGUGAUGAAUUCAGUAUUCUCAUCAGCCCAUCAUGGAGUAUGCUUUCUUUCUCUAUACCUGGACACGAAAAUAAAUAACGAGAUUCUUAGAUAUGUGUAUGUGUUUGUCUGUGCAAAUACUAAAGCUGAUUAAUAUCUAACAAAUUGCAGUGGAACUGGCAAACUAUACUAAUUGGAUCAACCUUUCUUGCUUUUCUUCUGUUUGCCAAGUAUAUUGUAAGCACUCUUAUUCUUUUUACUAAACAUUUCUUAGACAAUUUGUUAGGAUUGUUAAUUAUUUUCUAAUAAUGUUAUAUGUUGUCGAUCAGGGAAAGAAGGGCCAAAAAUUCUUCUGGGUUCCAGCAAUUGCUCCAUUGAUAUCUGUUGUUCUCUCCACCUUGUUUGUAUACAUAACACGUGCAGACAAGCAUGGCGUUGCAAUUGUAAGUAUAUAUAAUCCUACUCUCAUUGUGAACAUAGAAGCUUAUAAUUGUAUUCAAUAGUUGUAAAAGUACUAUACCUGUUUGAAUUAGCUUAUUUGAGGUUAUCUACUGGCAUAAGCACUUGUGAGACUGUCUGAGAGAGCUUAUAAAAACAAUUCAUGACAUGUUCAUAAACUUCUUUUAGCUUAUUUCCAUAAGUGUUCCAAGAUAGCUCAUGAAAACAGCUUUAUAACUUUUAUGAAAACAGUUUAAAUUUAUCUGUCUUUUCUUAUAGAACUAGCUCAUAUAUAAUAAAUGCUUAAUUAAGCUGUUUAUUGAAAGUAGUAAAUGUUUUUAUCUAUUGACGUGUGUAGGUAAAACACAUAGAGAAAGGGAUAAAUCCUUCCUCUGUGAAGGAAAUUUAUUUUACUGGUGAUUACCUUGCGAAAGGCGUUAGAAUCGGCAUUGUGGCUGGCAUGAUAGCUUUGACAGUAAGGAAACUUUGAGACUAUUAUCUUCAUUCAAAAAAUAUUUUACCAUUUUCGUGCGUUGUCAUUAUAGCCUGUUACAUUUUGGUUAUCAGGAAGCCAUAGCAAUAGGAAGAACAUUUGCUUCUAUGAAGGACUAUCAACUCGAUGGAAACAAAGAAAUGGUGGCAUUAGGAGCUAUGAAUGUUGUUGGUUCGAUGACUUCCUGCUAUGUAGCAACUGGUAAGAUUGAGAAAGUAUUAAAAGCAUAUCAGAUAAUGCAACAUAAACUUUGACGGGACCUUAAAAGAUCAAUUUUUUUUUAUAAUUUCACUAUGAACCAAAGUCGAGGGGCCUUAUGUGUAAAAAAAAUGAAACUGCAGGAGUACAAUAUAAUUUUCCCUGUUAAUUUUAUGAUAAAUUGCUUCAUAAUUAAUCAUUGCAAUUCAUUUAAGCGUGAUAUACUUUCUUUCUAUUGUCAGGUUCCUUCUCUCGGUCAGCAGUAAAUUUCAUGGCUGGUUGUGAAACUGCGGUCUCUAAUAUUGUCAUGUCUGUUGUCGUGUUCUUAACCCUGCAAUUCAUCACACCACUUUUCAAAUACACUCCAAAUGCAAUUCUUGCCUCAAUCAUCAUUUGUGCAGUCAUCAACCUUGUUGACUAUAAGGCAGCAAUUUUGAUAUGGAAAAUUGAUAAAUUUGACUUUGUUGCUUGCAUGGGAGCAUUUUUCGGGGUUGUUUUUGCCUCGGUUGAGAUAGGACUUUUGAUUGCUGUAAGUACCAAAGAUUCAGUUAUCUUAUUAUGCUCUAAAAUAAUUUAAAUUUUAGUUUCUGAUUGAUUACUAGUAUUAAUUUUGUUAUUAUUGUUGCAUGUUGUGGCAGGUUUCUAUAUCCUUUGCAAAGAUCCUAUUGCAAGUCACAAGGCCCCGAACGGCUAUUCUAGGGAAGAUCCCUAGGACAACUGUUUAUAGAAACAUCCAGCAAUAUCCAGAAGCCACAAGGGUUCCCGGUGUAUUGAUUAUAAGAGUUGAUUCUGCAAUAUAUUUUUCUAACUCCAAUUAUGUUAAAGAAAGGUAAUAAAGUUUUCGCUUUUUGUUUGUAAAUUUUUUUAAUUGAAUUGAAAGGAAAUAAUACAAUCUGUAUAGUGGUCUAGGAAGCUAUAUAUCUUUUUUAGCAAUCAUAUUAUUAACUAUGCCGUAAAGACAGAAGCUGUAAAUAGUUCGGAAAAUGACAGGAGUCACCAGUGUAUCAGAGGAUUACAUCCAUAAUGUAAGAAGUUUCAAUGGUGGUUACAUCCAAUAAUCCCAAAUAUCUUAUAAGCAGUGUAGUGAGCCUCACAUUAGAUAGUGAUGCGACGUGAAUGGUGGUUAGGUUCAAACACAGAAUUCUAAUAUAGUAUCAGAGUCUAUCUUAAAUUUAUUAUGCCGCCAUUAUCGAGUCAUCUAGGUCACACUCCAAAUGUGCAGUUCUAGACGUGAAAUAGGUGUUUUGAGAGUUUCACAUUGAAUAGUUUUACAGUCUGAAUAGUGAUUAAUAGUUCGGGGAAACAUUCACCUAAUGAGUUUCAUCAUAUGGUUUAGUAAUAUUUAAAAAAGGCAUGCUAUUUGGAAUUAAAUCUGAUAGUAAUAGGUGAAGGUUAGUCUAAAAACGAAAGAAACAUGUUCAAAGACCAAAAAUUGCAGGAUGAACCAAACGAUGGUUAGGAUAUCUAAUCGAGUUACACAUAUAUUAUAAAAUGAUAAUUUUUCCUUUCUUUUUGGCAAUAAUUAAACCUAUUUAUGAUGCCUAAUUGCAGGAUAUUAAGAUGGCUGAUGGAUGAAGAAGAACGAGUGAAUAGAGACUAUCAAACACGAAUUCAAUUUUUGAUAGUUGAAAUGUCACGUGAGUCUAUAUUUUUGCUUCAUCCUCAACUCAGCUAGGCACAUAAUUAUGAAUAUGCUUAGCCUUAAAUAUGUGUUUAAUUUGUUGCAGCCGUUACUGAUAUUGAUACCAGUGGCAUCCAUGCCCUGGAAGAGUUAUAUAGAAGUCUUCAAAAGAGAGAAGUUCAGGUAACAAAAGAUGAAUAAAUAAAUUAUUUUCAUAUAAUGCAUGUUUUGAUUGAUGCCAGUGGCAUGUUUUGAUUCAUGUUUUGGAAUAUGCAUGUUAUGAAAGUAAGUUGAAAACAUCGUCUUAAUGCAUGUUUUGAUUCGCGGUGAGUUUUGCAGAAUCUUAGCGGCUUGGCUCACCGUGAUUUUGUCCUACCCACCGUGAUUCUAAACAUGCACUUAUAGACACAUUAAUGUCAUAUAUUGUUUUCAUAAGAUCUCGCAAAUAGUGUCGCAAUUGCUUAUAUCAUUGUCGAUAGAUAAAUUAAAUUAAUUCAAUUCAAAUUCAAAAUGCCCUAUAUAUAUUUGUAUGUUAACAACAUUUCUAAACAAUAUAAUAUAAGGUAACAAUUAUAGAUAUCUUAACUAAAAAGGUACCUCUUUCUUGAGCAGCUUGUUCUUGCAAAUCCUGGUCCACUAGUGAUAGACAAACUCCACACAUCCAACUUUGCAAACUUUCUUGGUGAAGACAAGAUCUUCCUAACUGUUGCAGAGGCUGUUGCAUACUGUUCUCCAAAGCUAGCUGAAGACCCUUGAAUGAAAUAGUGUGGAAAAUUUUGAUUUUACCAUUCUUAGUAUAUAGGAAAAUGUCAUUAAGAAAUGAAGUAAGGUUAGUGAGAAGAGACAUGUUUGGCUUUCAGCUGGGUUAGCUAUGAGGUUGUUACAAAGUGGCCUUUUUUGUUGG